CCUACGGGGGGCUGCAGUGGGGAAUAUUGGACAAUGGGGGGAACCCUGAUCCAGCCAUGCCGCGUGUGUGAAGAAGGCCCUCGGGUUGUAAAGCACUUUCAGUGAGGAAGAACGCCUGGUGGUUAAUACCCAUCAGGAAAGACAUCACUCACAGAAGAAGCACCGGCUAACUCCGUGCCAGCAGCCGCGGUAAUACGGAGGGUGCGAGCGUUAAUCGGAAUUACUGGGCGUAAAGCGCGCGUAGGUGGCUUGAUAAGCCGGUUGUGAAAGCCCCGGGCUCAACCUGGGAACGGCAUCCGGAACUGUCAAGCUAGAGUGCAGGAGAGGAAGGUAGAAUUCCCGGUGUAGCGGUGAAAUGCGUAGAGAUCGGGAGGAAUCCCAGUGGCGAAGGCGGCCUUCUGGACUGACACUGACACUGAGGUGCGAAAGCGUGGGUAGCAAACAGGAUUAGAUACCCCGGUAGUC
rnacentral:rRNA from 1 species